rnacentral:pre_miRNA from 1 species
UCUUAUGGAUGAGCAAAGACAGUGGUUUCCUAAGAUGGAAUCUACUACUGCUGAAGAUGCUGUGAA